GACGAACGCUGGCGGCGUGCUUAACACAUGCAAGUCGAACGAAGUGGCGAACGGGUGAGUAACGCGUAAUCAACCUGCCCUUCAGAGGGGGUCAACAGUUGUAAACGACUGCUAAUAUCGCAUACUGAUGGUUGGGAUUGCGUUGGCUUAGCUAGUCGGAGGGGUAACGGCCCACCAAGGCGGUGAUCAGGAGCCGGACUGAGAGGAUGAACGGCCAGAUUGGGACUGAGACACGGCCCAGACUGCUACGGGAGGCAGCAGUGGGGAUACUUCCGCAAUGGACGAGAGUCUGACGGAGAAACGCCGCGUGAGUGAUGACGGCCUUCGGGUUGUAAAGCUCUGUUAAUCGGGACGCGGUACCGGAAUAGGAAGCCACGGCUAACUACGUGCCAGCAGCCGCGGUAAUAC
rnacentral:rRNA from 1 species